rnacentral:rRNA from 1 species
ACAACAGGGAUUGCCUCAGUAACGGCGAGUGAAGCGGCAACAGCUCAAAUUUGAAAUCUGGCCCUCGGGUCCGAGUUGUAAUUUGCAGAGGAUGCUUUUGGCGAGGUGCCUUCCGAGUUCCCUGGAACGGGACGCCAUAGAGGGUGAGAGCCCCGUCUGGUUGGACACCGAGCCUCUGUAAAGCUCCUUCGACGAGUCGAGUAGUUUGGGAAUGCUGCUCUAAAUGGGAGGUAUAUGUCUUCUAAAGCUAAAUACCGGCCAGAGACCGAUAGCGCACAAGUAGAGUGAUCGAAAGAUGAAAAGCACUUUGAAAAGAGAGUUAAAAAGCACGUGAAAUUGUUGAAAGGGAAGCGUUUAUGACCAGACUUGGGCUUUGGUUGAUCAUCCGGCGUUCUCGCCGGUGCACUCUUCCGGUUCCAGGCCAGCAUCAGUUCGCCUCCGGGGGAUAAAGGCUCUGGGAAUGUGGCUCCCUCGGGAGUGUUAUAGCCCACUGCGCAAUACCCUGCGGCGGACUGAGGUACGCGUUCUGCAUGGAUGCUGGCGUAAUGGUCAUCAAUGACCCGUCUUGAAACACGGACCAAGGAGUCGUCUUCGUAUGCGAGUGUUCGGGUGUCAAACCCCUACGCGUAAUGAAAGUGAACGCAGGUGAGAGCUUCGGCGCAUCAUCGACCGAUCCUGAUGUUCUCGGAUGGAUUUGAGUAAGAGCAUACGGGGCCGGACCCGAAAGAAGGUGAACUAUGCCUGUAUAGGGUGAAGCCAGAGGAAACUCUGGUGGAGGCUCGCAGCGGUUCUGACGUGCAAAUCGAUCGUCAAAUAUGGGCAUGGGGGCGAAAGACUAAU